GUGAGCGGCAAAGCUCAAAUUUGAAAUCUGGCGUCUUUGGCGUCCGAGAAUGUAAUUUGAAGAAGGUAUCUUUGGGCCCGGCUCUUGUCUAUGUUCCUUGGAACAGGACGUCACAGAGGGUGAGAAUCCCGUGCGAUGAGAUGACCCGGGUCUGUGUAAAGUUCCUUCGACGAGUCGAGUUGUUUGGGAAUGCAGCUCUAAGUGGGUGGUAAAUUCCAUCUAAAGCUAAAUAUUGGCGAGAGACCGAUAGCGAACAAGUACAGUGAUGGAAAGAUGAAAAGAACUUUGAAAAGAGAGUGAAAAAGUACGUGAAAUUGUUGAAAGGGAAGGGCUUGAGAUCAGACUUGGUAUUUUGCAUGUUGCUCUCUCGGGGGCGGCCGCUGCGGUUUACCGGGCCAGCAUCGGUUUGGAGCGGCAGGAUAAUGGCGGAGGAAUGUGGCACGGCUUCUGCUGUGUGUUAUAGCCUCUGACGAUGCUGCCAGCCUAGACCGAGGACUGCGGUUUUUUACCUAG
rnacentral:rRNA from 1 species